CCCUUUGAUACUCUGGGCGGGACGCGCGCUACAAUGAAGUACAGAACGAGCAACGCAGAACACGCUUUGUGUGAAUCGUAGAGUACGUACUUGAGUGGAAUAGUUUAUUGCAAUUAUUAGACUUGAACAAGGAAUCCCUUGUACGAGCAGCAAAGAACGCUGCUUAGAAUACGUCCCUGCCGUUUGUACACACCGCCCGUCGUUUCUUCCGACUGAUACUCAUUGUGAAUUGCAGGGACGUACGCAGAAUUGCUGUGAAUGCUGAGUAUUGGAGGAAGAAAAAGUCGUAACA
rnacentral:rRNA from 1 species